AUUGAACGCUGGCGGCAUGCCUUACACAUGCAAGUCGAACGGCAGCGGACCUUCGGGUGCCGGCGAGUGGCGAACGGGUGAGUAAAGUAUCGGAACGUACCUUUCAGUGGGGGAUAACUGUCCGAAAGGACAGCUAAUACCGCAUAUUCUGUGAGCAGGAAAGCAGGGGAUCGCAAGACCUUGCGCUGAUUGAGCGGCCGAUAUCAGAUUAGCUAGUUGGUGAGGUAAAGGCUCACCAAGGCGACGAUCUGUAGCGGGUCUGAGAGGAUGAUCCGCCACACUGGAACUGAGACACGGUCCAGACUCCUACGGGAGGCAGCAGUGGGGAAUUUUGGACAAUGGGGGCAACCCUGAUCCAGCCAUGCCGCGUGAGUGAAGAAGGCCUGG
rnacentral:rRNA from 1 species